rnacentral:misc_RNA from 1 species
GAUGAAGAACGUAGCGAAAUGCGAUAAGUAAUGUGAAUUGCAGAAUUCAGUGAAUCAUCGAAUCUUUGAACGCACAUUGCGCCCCCUGGUAUUCCGGGGGGCAUGCCUGUUCGAGCGUCAUUUCACCACUCAAGCCUCGCUUGGUAUUGGGCAACGCGGUCCGCCGCGUGCCUCAAAUCGACCGGCUGGGUCUUCUGUCCCCUAAGCGUUGUGGAAACUAUUCGCUAAAGGGUGUUCGGGAGGCUACGCCGUAAAACAACCCCAUUUCUAAGGUUGCCCUCGGAUCAGGUAGGGAUACCCGCUGAACUUAAGCAUAUCAAUAAGCGGAGGA